rnacentral:rRNA from 1 species
GACGAACGCUGGCGGCGUGCUUAACACAUGCAAGUCGAACGGAAAGGCCCUGCUUUUGUGGGGUGCUCGAGUGGCGAACGGGUGAGUAACACGUGAGUAACCUGCCCUUGACUUUGGGAUAACUUCAGGAACCUGGGGCUAAUACCGGAUAGGAGCUCCUGCUGCAGGGUGGGGGUUGGAAAGUUUCGGCGGUUGGGGAUGGACUCGCGGCUUAUCAGCUUGUUGGUGGGGUAGUGGCUUACCAAGGCUUUGACGGGUAGCCGGCCUGAGAGGGUGACCGGCCACAUUGGGACUGAGAUACGGCCCAGACUCCUACGGGAGGCAGCAGUGGGGAAUAUUGCACAAUGGGCGGAAGCCUGAUGCAGCAACGCCGCGUGCGGGAUGACGGCCUUCGGGUUGUAAACCGCUUUCGCCUGUGACGAAGCGUGAGUGACGGUAAUGGGUAAAGAAGCACCGGCUAACUACGUG